CAAGAGAAAGAGAAAAGGAGGCAAGCACCAACCAGAGGUCCAUUAUGCAGCAUUGAAAUUAAGCGUCCGUGAUAAUGUUUUCGAUACGCCAGUGAGUGGUGCAGCAGAUACCUUUCCAGUUGCUAGUAGCUUGUGGAGUUUUAUCUUGAUGAGCAUAUUGCUUCAUUUCAUCUAUUAAAUUUUGGAAAACGCGUGUCAAGUGGUGUUGUUCAUAGUAUUCUUCAUUGUGUUCAAUGAGGCAAAUUAAUCUUAAUAACACUAUUAGCCUUCGACCUUAGUCCCGCGCGGCACAAGAUACGUGUAUGAUCAUUGCUAAUAUUUUUGAAGUGCACGAAGAUGGACAUUUUCAAUUUUCAACUUGUGAAUCUGAGUUUUUUUUGUAAAUUCGUCCUGAAUAAGCAUUGUAUCUCUGAUUUGUAAUUGAUAAAUUGUUGAAUAAAUCAUUUUGUCAUACAAAA